AACGCGAAGAACCUUACCUAAACUUGACAUCCCGAUGACAAUCUGUGUAAUGCAGACUUUCUUCGGAACAUCGGUGACAGGUGGUGCAUGGUUGUCGUCAGCUCGUGUCGUGAGAUGUUGGGUUAAGUCCCGCAACGAGCGCAACCCCUAUUCUUAGUAGCCAUCAUUAAGUUGGGCACUCUAGGGAGACUGCCGUGGGUAACACGGAGGAAGGUGGGGAUGACGUCAAAUCAUCAUGCCCCUUAUGUUUAGGGCUACACACGUGCUACAAUGGCUGUAACAAAGUGAUGCGAGAUAGUGAUAUGGAGCAAAGCACAAAAAAGCAGUCCCAGUUCGGAUUGUAGUCUGCAACUCGACUACAUGAAGUUGGAAUCGCUAGUAAUCGCGAAUCAGAAUGUCGCGGUGAAUACGUUCCCGGGUCUUGUACACACCG
rnacentral:rRNA from 1 species